GCGGAAGCCAGAUACCCAAAAGGGUAUACGGUGGUGCCCGCGAUGGCUGAAGCAGUGUCGGUUGCGGCCGACUCUCUCACUGGCGGCAGGGCGCGGGCGGCGCCCACAGUGCUGAAUCAAGUAGUGCUCCCGGGUGAGGAACUUCUUCUCCCGGAGCAGGAGGACGUAGAAGGCCCUGGUGGUGGAGGGGAGCGGCCGUUGCGCUUGAAUGCUGGAACACGCUCACGGGUACGCGUAGUGUGCGGCCCCGGCUUGCGGCGUUCUGGGGACCGUCUGCUGGUCACCAAGUGCGGCCGCCUCCGUCACAAGGAGCCCAGCAGCGGCAGCGGCGGUGGCGGUGGCGUUUACUGGGUGGAUUCGCAGCAGAAACGGUAUGUUCCUGUGAAAGGAGACCAUGUGAUUGGCAUAGUGACAGCUAAAUCUGGAGAUAUAUUUAAAGUUGACGUUGGAGGAAGUGAGCCAGCUUCUUUGUCUUACUUGGCAUUUGAAGGUGCAACUAAAAGAAACAGACCAAAUGUGCAGGUUGGAGAUCUCAUCUAUGGGCAGUUUGUAGUUGCUAAUAAGGAUAUGGAACCAGAGAUGGUCUGUAUUGAUAGCUGUGGACGGGCCAAUGGAAUGGGUGUGAUUGGGCAUGAUGGUCUGCUCUUCAAAGUGACGUUGGGCCUAAUUAGAAAGCUCUUAGCUCCAGACUGUGAAAUUAUACAAGAAGUGGGAAAACUCUAUCCACUGGAGAUAGUAUUCGGAAUGAAUGGAAGAAUAUGGGUUAAGGCAAAAACCAUUCAGCAGACUUUAAUUUUGGCAAACAUUUUGGAAGCUUGUGAACACAUGACAGCAGAUCAAAGAAAACAAAUCUUCUCCAGAUUGGCAGAAAGUUGAUAUAUGUGGACUUUUUAAAAAUUAUUAUUUUUUUAAUUAAUUCACUAGUCAAGAAUGGUUGUGGGGGCAGUAUGUGGACUUUCUUAACAGGUCAGCUGAGUUAAGAAACUAUGGAUUUCCAGGGGAAAACAUUUUUCAGCAAUGCUGCUGCUGGAUGCUGUGAGAAGCACCAUGGCUUAAGCCGCUGGGGGUUGCCGCUGCAGAGCCUGAUGCUGCUGCCGCAGGCACUACUGCCUCUAAUAUGCCAUGAUGGCCGCGGACCCUGCGAGAGGGGAGGAGGGAAAGAUGAACUGCAGAGGAACUACAUUUACAAGCGGGUGCAACAGAAAUGCGCAUUAACUUCUAGUAUAGAGUGCAAC